CCUGACUAGGUGUGAAUGGGGUGAUCGGAUGCUUCAAAUUUUCUUUUUUAUUUUUAUUUUUUUUUCAGAGAAAGAAGUGGGCAUUCGUGAUCAUACAGAUCUGUUGCUACAAACGAACUUGAAGGUGCAAAUUUUAACAAAUAAAAAAGUGGGUCUUGUUUUUUUCGGUACUUCUAGCCAAAACCACUGGAGGUCUUGACUUGAGAGGGAGACUAGAGAAGCGUCAUCAAUUGAUCACUUGUAGAGUGUUACAGAGUUCGAAUAUAACGGUACCCAGAGCAAUUUUCCGGUAAGAGAAAGAAGAUAAAUGGCAGAGUGCUGUAAGCUUUCUACUAAACAAGCUUACGCCCUAGAUAGAGGAAGAAGUGCAGUUAUUGAAGAAAGUGCAUAAAGAAGUCGAAGACAUCAGAGAUGAAUUAGAAAGCAUGAGAGCCCUUCUGAGAGAUGCCGAUGCAAGGGUCGAAGCCGAUGCAAGUGUAAAAGCAUGGGUGAACCAAGUGAGGGAUGUGGCUUAUGACAUGGAAGAUGUUCUUGAUGAUUUCAUGCUUCAGUUUGCACAACGAAGACGACAUCAGUCGAACAGAUUCAUUGGCUGUCUUCACAAAAUCAUGCACUCCCUCCAUAACUUGAAAUCUCGUCAUUCUCUAGCCACUCAGAUACAGCAGAUUAAAUCGAGAGUAUAUGAAGUAUCAAAUAGAAGAGAUCGAUAUGGAUUCAGAAACCAAGAACAAGCCUCAAGUUCAGAUUCUUCGGUGCGGACUGGCAUGAUAUUCGAACAGACGCCCUUCUCCUGGAGGAAGCUGAGCUAGUGGGGAUUGACAAACCCAAGCAAGAAGUCAUUGGAUGGCUUGUGGAGGGUCAAUCAAGCGUUGGAGUAAUUUCAGUGGUUGGUAUGGGUGGCUUAGGCAAGACAACUCUGGUGAAGAAAGUGUACGAGGAUCAAAGGGUGAAGAGACACUACCAAUCUCAUGCAUGGAUUACUUUUUCAGAAUCACCUAGGAUUCAUGAGUUGUUAAUAGAUAUGAUAAAGCAGUUGUAUGAGCAAAAGCAACCAAUUCCUCAAGGAGUUGGGGAAAUGAAAGAGGCCAGACUGAAGCAGCUACUCCAAGAAUUUCUUAAGCAAAAUAGGAAUGUGAUUGUUCUUGAUGACAUAUGAAGCAUACAAGCAUGGGAAUCUGUUAAAAAUGUUUUCCCCAGUAACAAAUGUGGAAGUAGAAUAAUGAUUACAACUCGUUCUAAUGAUAUAGCUUCAUCAUGCAUAAAAAUCUCAUUUUCAAGUCUAUAACCUUCAGCCAUUGUCUCAACAAGAGUCCUGGACUUUGUUUUGUAAGAAAGCUUUUUGCUCCUCCCCUGAGCAUGGUUGUCCUCCAGAAUUGGAGGAUCUCGCUCGAAGCAUUGUAAGAAAAUGUGGAGGACUACCGCUUGCAGUUGUGACAGUAGGUGGUGUUCUAUCAAAGCAGAAGACUACAAUAGAAUGGGAGAUGUUCAAUCGCAGCCUGGGUGGUGAGUUGCAAAGCGACAACAGACUUAGGAUUAUGAUGAAAAUACUAUCUUUAAGUUACAAUGAUUUGCCAUACCAUCUAAAAUAUUGUAUCUUGUGUUUGAGUAUGUUUCCUGAGGAUGAAUUGAUUGACAGAAUGAAACUAAUUUGGAUAUGGAUGGCUGAAGGAUUUAUCCAAAGAAAAGAAGGAAAGACCUUAGAAGAGGUUGGAGAGAGUUAUUUCUAUGAACUGGUUAAUAGGAGCCUCCUCCAAAUAGUAAAAACAGCAAUUGAUGAUGGACGAGUCCAAACAUGUUGAGUCCAUGACCUCAUUCAUGAGAUCAUUCUUUCGAAAUAAAAUGAGUAGAAUUUUGGAGCCAUAAUUAAUGCUGAAAAGCAGGAUGUAAUGGUUGAUAAUGAAAAAAUCAGGCAUCUAUCAAUUCAUGAUGGUUGUGAAAAAGUAGCACAAGAGAAGUGCUUCACUCACCUUCGUUCUUUAUUCAUGUUUAGGUGGGUACAUUUUCCAACAGAUUUAGUGGUGGUGAAUUCUUUUCUAGGCUUAAGCUGCUCAAGGUGUUGGAUUUGAGAAGUCUCCCAUUGGAGGAGUUUCCAGAGGAACUCACCAAUUUCUUCCAUUUAAGGUAUUUAAACUUGAGAAACACCAAAGUCAAAGAGAUUCCAGAUUCUAUCAAGAAGCUCCACUACCUUGAGACCUUGGAUCUUAAACAUACCUAUGUGUCUGAGUUGCCCGUUGGGAUCCUCAACCUCCAUAAGCUACGACAUCUUCUUGUUUACUGCUACAAAUAUGGACAUUCUUAUUUUACAUUUCAUCAGUCAGGGUUCAAGGCACCAAGUGGAAUUGGAGAUUUGGCAUCCCUACAAAAGCUUAGCUGCAUAGAAGCAAACAAUGACAUUGACCUGAUCAGAGGGCUCGGGAGAUUAGUCCAAUUGAAACGAUUGGGGAUUAGGAAGUUAAAAAGAGAAGAUGGAACACAUCUAUGUUCCUCCAUUGAGAAAAUGAUCCGCCUUCAAUUUCUAACUCUAGCUGCAAUAGAAGAGGGGGAGAUUCUUGACCUUGAAUCAUUAUCUUCACCGCCUCCUUUUCUUAGACAUUUAUUGUUGACAGGGCGGUUGGAGAAAUUACCACACUGGAUUCCCUUGUUGCAAAAUUUGUGCACUAUAGAUUUAAGGUGGACUAAAUUGAAGGAUGAUCCACUUGAAGCCCUGAAAGAUUUUCCUAACUUAGUGGUGCUUGCUCUUGUUGAUGCUUACCAAGGAGAACAAUUAUGUUUUCAGUCAGGUGGGUUUCACAAGCUUAAGUUUCUAUGCCUUAACAGUUUAGAAGGAUUGAGAAUGGUUAGUGUGGUGGGAGCACUGCCUCAUCUUGAAAAACUAGAGAUUGAAAAUUGUAGAUUUCUAGAGAAGGUGCCAUCAGGCAUUGAAAGCCUCACCAAGCUUAAACACCUUUCAUUUAUGAAUAUGCCUGAUAAAUUUGAGAGGAAGAUACAGUCUCAAGGCGAAGAUCAUUGGAAAGUUGCACAUGUUGCAUUGGUUCGUUUUUGGCAUUGGAUAGAAGGAAAAUGGGCGAUUUAUGAUUUAAAUGGUCCUGCAAGGUUUUCCUGAUCAAGCUAAUUUGAUUUGGAGUUUUCUCGAAGCAAUGUGAGAAAAUAUGAAGGACUACAACAUGCAAUUGUGACAGUUGGUGGUGUUCUUUCAACAAAGAAGAAGACCACAACAGAAUGGGAGAUGUUCAUAUUGCAGCCUGGGCGAACCUUGAGAUCAAGAAGAUAAAUGAUGAGAAAAGAUCAGCUCUUACUACACAAUUUGCAUCAGAAGCCACACUUUGGAGAGUCCAUGCUGCUCAAGAGGAUGAUGACUGCCUCCUAUUGAGGCCAUCAUCAUCCACUUGAGGCAGAGUUAAAACUUGCUAAGCUUGAGGUAUGUUUAAGUUUUAAUUAAUGUUAUACUGUUGGAAAUGACCACUAACAUAGUUUAUUGUAACAUGCAUAUUAAUAAUACUCAUGGUACACAUGCAUUUGGUUCUUAGUUGUGCUGGUGAAUGGACUCAAAUUAUUAACAUGGGCAUAAAAAAUUUGCCCAUUUGGGUACUGUAUUUUCUCUUUGUAUUAUUCUGUUUUAAUUUGUCAGGUUGCAAAGCUACAGGAUGAUAAUAAAGCAAUAAAUUAGAUUACUAAAUCAAAGGUAGCUGCUCUACUUGAUGCUGAGAGAACUGUACAGAAUUCCUUGGCAAAAGCAUCGUUGGUUGAAGAUCUUCAAAACAAGAACCAGGAGUUCAGGAAGCAGAUUGAAAAUUGCUAGGAGGAGAAUAAGAAUUUGAACAAUAUGCAAAGAAAAAGGUUACAGAGGUUAAAGCUAAGGCAAACCGUCUGUGAGCUGGAGGAGGCUGCUGCAAAUGCUGUGACACUACGAACAACAAGUGCAGGAGAUCAAAUAGAGGGAAACUCAUGAUCGGAAACUAGCUUGUGGGAAGGCUAUGCAAAUUGAGUUGCAAUUGUAGUUGCAAACGAAUGGAAAGAUGCCAAUUACAAAGUUAUGCCUGUAAAGCAGUGGCUUGAAGAGAGGAAAUUUUUCUAGGUAUAUUAUGGUUUACACUUU